AUUGAACGCUGGCGGCAGGCUUAACACAUGCAAGUCGAGCGGAAACGAUGAUAGCUUGCUAUCAGGCGUCGAGCGGCGGACGGGUGAGUAAUACUUAGGAAUCUACCUAGUAGUGGGGGAUAGCACGGGGAAACUCGUAUUAAUACCGCAUACGACCUACGGGAGAAAGGGGGCAGUUUACUGCUCUCGCUAUUAGAUGAGCCUAAGUCGGAUUAGCUAGAUGGUGGGGUAAAGGCCUACCAUGGCGACGAUCUGUAGCUGGUCUGAGAGGAUGAUCAGCCACACCGGGACUGAGACACGGCCCGGACUCCUACGGGAGGCAGCAGUGGGGAAUAUUGGACAAUGGGGGAAACCCUGAUCCAGCCAUGCCGCGUGUGUGAAGAAGGCCUUUUGGUUGUAAAGCACUUUAAGCAGUGAAGAAGACUCCGUGGUUAAUACCCACGGACGAUGACAUUAGCUGCAGAGUAAGCACCGGCUAACUCUGUGCCAGCAGCCGCGGUAAUACAGAGGGUGCAAGCGUUAAUCGGAAUUACUGGGCGUAAAGGGAGCGUAGGUGGCUCUAUAAGUCAGAUGUGAAAUCCCCGGGCUUAACCUGGGAACUGCAUCUGAAACUGUAGAGCUAGAGUAUGUGAGAGGAAGGUAGAAUUCCAGGUGUAGCGGUGAAAUGCGUAGAGAUCUGGAGGAAUACCGAUGGCGAAGGCAGCCUUCUGGCAUAAUACUGACACUGAGGCUCGAAAGCGUGGGUAGCAAACAGG
rnacentral:rRNA from 1 species